rnacentral:ncRNA from 1 species
CUUCUGCUCUCGCGUCCGUCACGCAGUCUUCUUAGAGGGACAAGCGGCGUCCAGCCGCGUGACAGUGAGCAAUAACAGGUCUGUGAUGCCCUUAGAUGUCCUGGGCCGCACGCGCGCUACACUGAAGGAAUCAGCGUGUUUCACUCUCCCUGUCCGAAAGGACCGGGUAACCGCUGAACCUCCUUCGUGGUUGGGAUUGGGGACUGCAAUGAUCCCCAUGAACCAGGAAUCCCUAGUAGGCGCGGGUCACUAGCCCGCGUCGAUUACGUCCCUGCCCUUUGUACACACCGCCCGUCGCUACUACCGAUUGAAUGAUUUAGUGAGGCCUUCGGACGGGCUUGUCGGGGUGCCGUCGAGUGGGGAGCAAUCUCUGCCCGUGCGGUGCCUACCAACGGCGAGACUGAAAGAUGGUCGAACUUGAUCCUUUAGAGGAAGUAAAAGUCGUAACAAGGUUUCCGUAGGUGAACCUGCGGAAGGAUCAUAA